rnacentral:lncRNA from 1 species
CGGCAGGGGCGGGGCCGGGCGGCGCGGUCACGCCCCUCCACCGCCUCCGCCAAUGGCGUGCCUCCCGCCCGCUGAUCGACAGGCCCGGCGGAGAGCCGGAAGGAGGGCGAGCGCCGAGCUCCUGGCGGCGAGGGACGCCUCGGAGGGGGCUGCCGGGGGAGCUACGCUCCUGGGGCUAUGGCCUUGAGCAGGAGGGAAGGUUAAAAUAUGCUUAGGAUUCCAAAUAUUUCAGGCUAAUCAGUUUUUCAACUGUCCUGUGGUAAUAUCACCUCUUCAUUCUCCUGAGAAAGGUGUACUGCUGGGAUACACUACUUCCUGCUCUGUUCAGGAGGCUUGAAAUACAUCUGGUUCCAAACAGUAUUCAUAGGGAAAGUACUGAAACGACUCUUCGCUGAAACUUCAUCAUCUUCUGUUGUGCAUAUGAGUGGAGAAGAGGAGAUGGUUCUUGGAAACCUAGGCUCAAAAUCCAAAGAGAAGGAUUUGGAGAAUGUUCAGACUUUGUCAGCAGAUGCCAGUACAUCAGGUGAUACACACUGCAAAUCACUUCAAGAUAUACCCACAGAUUGGAGGCAGUGGGUGAUUCAGCACUUCUUCCUAUCCUCAUGUUACAACAGAAGCCCAGGUGCAUAUGUACAUAAGAGAAGGCAAGUAUAAUCAAUUCAGGCAGUAUGUUAGUACUAAAAAGCAUUAUUUUCAGCUUAUGUGGAUGGAAUUAAAGUAGCCUGUAAAUAUUUUGACAAGUAAGUAAAAGUCCUGCUUCAAAUGGGCUAUAAAAUGUGGAUGCUGUACCAAAAGAUGGCGUUUUAAAAUGGGUAACUGAUGAUAUUUCGUGAGUGAUAGGCUCAGCACUUAUGUGUAGAAUGAGCAUGAAUUGCUUCAUGUUGUAGUUCACCUAAAAUCAAGUUUUGCCUUUAACUGAAAAAGGUCA